rnacentral:lncRNA from 1 species
CAAUUUAGUAAUUACAUGUAUUUACUAGUUGUUUCAGUGAUUACUGGUAUUCACUGAUAUUUUUUGUCAUUUUUACAGCUAUUUACUAACUUGAUAUUUUUGUUUUAAAAUUAAAGAUAUAAUCCAAGAUACAAAAUAAGAAAGUAAAAGGGUAGGUAUUUUAGGGCUGACUUAAUUAAGGAUUAAUGAAUAUAAGGCACACCUUUAGUGGUUGUGAAUUGAAACUGAAAAAUGGUUGUUUUUAAAGUAUUGAAACUCCCUUAAUAUCAUUUGCAGCAUGCAAGACAAUGAUAUCAAUCCAAAAUUGAGAUAUACAUUUGUGAGAAGUUUA